AGUGAACGCUGGCGGCGUGCCUAAUACAUGCAAGUCGAACGGAGAUUAAGUAGCUUGCUCUUUAAUCUUAGUGGCGCACGGGUGAGUAAUAUAUAGCUAACUUGCCCAUUACUAAGGGACAACAGUUGGGAACGACUGCUAAUACCUUAUACUCCGUAUCUAUAUAAGUAGAUACGGGAAAGUUUUUCGGUAAUGGAUAGGGCUAUAUCGUAUCAGCUAGUUGGUAAGGUAAUGGCUUACCAAGGCUAUGACGCGUAACUGGUCUGAGAGGAUGAUCAGUCACACUGGAACUGAGACACGGUCCAGACUCCUACGGGAGGCAGCAGUAGGGAAUAUUGCUCAAUGGGGGAAACCCUGAAGCAGCAACGCCGCGUGGAGGAUGACACUUUUCGGAGCGUAAACUCCUUUUCUUGGGAAAGAAUUAUGACGGUACCCAAGGAAUAAGCACCGGCUAACUCCGUG
rnacentral:rRNA from 1 species